GAGGAAAAGAAGAAGCACCCGCUUCUCACCUGGCUGACGCAAAGAGCAGUUGGCAGGUUUUACUGAAACAGCUUUUAACUUGUCGUUUCGUAAGUGUGGGUGAUUUCAUCCGCACUUUUUUAUAUGU
rfam:Bacillus sp. NRRL B-14911 1099999053063, whole genome shotgun sequence.